rnacentral:tRNA from 2 species
UGGGGCGUCGCCAAGUGGUAAGGCAGCGGGUUUUGAUCCCGUCAUACGAAGGUUCGAAUCCUUCCGUCCCA